rnacentral:rRNA from 1 species
GAUCAGGCUCAGGACGAACGCUGGCGGCGUGCCUAACACAUGCAAGUCGAGCGGAGACAGUGAGUAGCUUGCUAUGAGCUGUUUUAGCGGCGGACGGGUGAGUAACGCGUGAGCAACCUUUCCCAGACAGGGGAAUAACACACCGAAAGGUGUACUAAUACCGCAUAAGACCACGGAAUCACAUGGUUCUGGGGUAAAAGAUUUAUCGGUUUGGGGUGGGCUCGCGUCCGAUUAGGUAGUUGGUGAGGUAACGG